rnacentral:lncRNA from 1 species
GGAAGAGAAAUCAGAAUAACACAACUACUGCAAGCAAAAUAGACUUUGCCGAAGACAGCCCGAGACGCAAGGAUUUGCCCCAAAAUACGGACUGAAUACCUCAUUGUGUUAGGCACUCGCUGGGUAUUGGCAAAGUCAAGAUGCCUUAGUGCCUGGCCACUCAGUCAGGUCUGCAGGACAGUAUUGGCACCACGUGGGAGCGUGUUGGAAAUACAGAUUCUCGGGCCCUGCCUCACCACUACCAACUUCAAAUCUGCACUUGAAUGAGAUCUCCAGGUUA